rfam:Vigna angularis cultivar Jingnong 6 scaffold695_9, whole genome shotgun sequence.
UAGCUAACAAGGUGAUCAUUGUGAAGCAGAAUUCACCAAGUGUUGGAUUGUUCACCCAUCAAUAGGGAACGUGAGCUGGGUUUAGACCGUCGUGAGACAGG